GGGCCUCCUCAGAACCUGCCACCAUUUCCGAAACAGGCCAUUGAGAGAUGGUAUAAAAGGUCCCUUUGUCUCAAGCAACUCUCAUUCACUCGACAAAGCUUGACUUGACCAACGCUUGACUCCGUGAACAAUAGGCUUAUCCAAUCCACAGAAAAGAUGAGCCAGCAACAACAAAGAGGAAGCUGCUGCUGUUGUGGUGGUAGAGGCUGUGGGUGCUGCGGUGGCAGCCGCAGUGGCGGUGGAUGUGGUGGUGGCAGCCGCAGUGGCGGAGGAUGUGGUGGUGGCAGCCACAGUGGCGGAGGAUGUGGUGGUGGCAGCCACAGUGGCGGAGGAUGUGGUGGUGGCAGCCGCGGUGUGGUUUCCUCUCAGUGGAGUCAGAGCAGCGGUGGAUGUGGUGGCGGCAGUAGCGGUGGCGGAUGUUGCGGAGGCAGCAGAGGUGGUGGAUGCGGCGGCGGUAGCAGCGGCGGCAGUUGCUGUGGUGGCAGCAGUGGCGGCGGAUGUUGUGGUGGACAACAAAGUCAACAGAAAGUCUUCCCCCAGAAGCUGAAGUAGAUGCCUUCAAGGAUAGUUGAAAUACUCAAUUAUUAUCAUCACUUGUUGCAUCUUCCCUUUUCUUCUUGCAAACCAUAAUUGGCUGAAAUUCCCCAAUGUGAAUAAUGUAAAUGUUCAGACUUGCCUUCAAGGAUGGUUGAAAUACUCAAUUAUUAUCAUCACUUCUUGCAUAUUCCCCUUUCUUCAUGCAAACUGUAGUUUGGCUGAAAUCAUGAGCUUUCCCUAUUGUUGUAAAGAAAUGGAAUCCAUGAUUCAUAACUGUUCCAUGAGAAUCACCAUCGUAUUAUGACACCUUUAUUGCUUGUGAAUGAUGUAAACAUUCAGACUUUCUGCUUGAAAACCCAUUAAAAGUUUCUUUCAAACCAAGAAA